UUCAAAAAAAAAUAUGAAAAGUCCUUUCAAAUAAUAACUAUAAUAAAAUAAAUAUGUUAAAUUAGUAUAAAGUAGAUUAUACUAAUAUGUAUGUUACAUAACAAAAACAAAUAACAAAUAUAACAAACAAAUAUAACAAAUAAAAAUAACAAACAAAAACAUAACAAACAAAAAUAAAUAGAUAAUAAACAACAAAUCGCCAAAUCAAUAAAAAAUACAACAAUUCGCGCGAAUCCACAAAUCAUUCUCAACUUUUUGACCAACAUAUUAAAAGAACCUACAAUAUUAACAUCAUCUAGAUCUAUAUUUGGUGGGAGCCUUAAUAACACAUUUUU
rnacentral:lncRNA from 1 species